rnacentral:rRNA from 1 species
UACGUAGGGGGCAAGCGUUGUCCGGAAUCAUUGGGCGUAAAGAGCGCGUAGGCGGUCCGGUAAGUCCGCUGUGAAAGUCGGGGGCUCAACCCUCGAAUGCCGGUGGAUACUGUCGGGCUAGAGUCCGGAAGAGGCGAGUGGAAUUCCUGGUGUAGCGGUGAAAUGCGCAGAUAUCAGGAGGAACACCAAUGGCGAAGGCAGCUCGCUGGGACGAUACUGACGCUGAGGCGCGAAAGCGUGGGGAGCAAACAGG